rnacentral:rRNA from 1 species
GGGGGAAAAUUAAUAACUUAAAUUUAAUAAAAGAAAUUUUAAUAUUAAAAAGAAAAAUGGGGGUUUGAGUAUUUUUAAUAGAAAAAAUUAAAAGUUUUAUAGUUAAAUAUUACUGUAAAGGAAUUUAUAAAUAAAUGAAAUAUAAUUAAUGAAAAAGUAAAUUUAAAUUAUUGUAUCUUGUGUAUCAGAGUUUAUUAAAUAAUAAUAAUUUAUUUAAAUAAAUCUCGAAUUUAAAAGAGUUAAUUAAUUAAAAAAGUUAAUGUUGUAUAAUUAUUUUAAAUAAUUAAUUAGAAAUGAAAUGUUAAUCGUUUUUAAAUAUAUCUAGUUUUUUCAGAAAAAAAUUUAAUUUUAAAUUUAAAUAAUUUUAUAAUUAUUUAAUUAAUUAUAAAAAUUUAAAUUUUAAUAUUUUAGGGGAUAAGCUUUAAAUUAAAAAUUUAUAAUUAAAAAUAAUUAAAAUUAAAAUUUUUAAAAUUUAUAUUGUUUAAAAAUUAUAGUUUAUUAUAAAAAAUUUUAUUAAAAAUAAAAUUUAAAAUAAAAAAAAUUUAAAUUUUUAUGAAAAAAUAAUUUAUAAUUUAAUAAAAUUAGAAAUAAUGAUAAAAUUAGUAUAAUAUAAUAAAUUAAAAAAAAAAUUAUAAAUAAUUAAGUUAAAGGAAUUCGGCAAAAAUUUAUAUUCACUUGUUUAUCAAAAACAUGUCUUUUUGAUAAUAAUUUAAAGUCUAAUCUGCCCACUGAUAUUAUAUUAAAGGGCUGCAGUAUAUUGACUGUACAAAGGUAGCAUAAUCAUUAGUCUUUUAAUUGAAGACUUGUAUGAAAGAUUUGAUGAAAUAUAAACUGUCUCUAAUUUAUGAUUAGAAAUUAAUUUUUUAGUUAAAAAGCUAAAAUAAAAUUAAAAGACGAGAAGACCCUAUAGAGUUUUAUAUUUUAUUUAAUUAAUAUUAAAUAUAUAAUUAAAUAUAUUAAUUAAAUAAAAUAUUGUGUUGGGGUGAUAGAAAAAUUUAAUAAACUUUUUUUAAAAUUAAACAUAAAUAAGUGGUUAAUUGAUCCAUUAAUAAUGAUUAAAAGAAAAAAUUACCUUAGGGAUAACAGCGUAAUAUUUUUUUUUAGUACGUAUAAAAAAAAAAGUUUGCGACCUCGAUGUUGGAUUAAGAUAAAAUUUAAAUGCAAAAGUUUAAAAUUUUGAUCUGUUCGAUCAUUAAAAUCUUACAUGAUCUGAGUUCAAACCGGUGUAAGCCAGGUUGGUUUCUAUCUUUAAUAAAAAAAAAAUAUUUUAGUACGAAAGGAUCAAAUAUUUAAAAUAAUUUUAUAAUAAUGAAUAUUAAUAAUAUAGUUUA